GUCAGAGAUACUUUGAACCCCCAGAAUUGUGAGGUAAACAAUCUGUGGUGUUUGAAAUCCGUGAAGUUAUGGCAAUUGGUUACAGCAGCCACAAGGAACUCAUACAAAUGAAGAGACUGUCUUUGAUAUCCCUUAGUGUGUGUCUGUUCUCUGGUCUCCCCAAGAUUUCUACCUUCCUAUCAAUUCAUGUUCAUUUUGGCAAAAGUCUUGGAGCAUUUCAUGAUAAGAAGAGAGAGCCAAUAGGAUACUCUAUGAGAUGAACUGAAAGCAUGGGAAGAGUGUAUUUAAGGUCAGACAGAUGAGGGUUCUAAUCCCAAUAC
rnacentral:lncRNA from 1 species